rnacentral:rRNA from 1 species
GAUGAACGCUAGCGGCAGGCUUAAUACAUGCAAGUCGUGGGGCAGCAUGAAUGUAGCAAUACAUUUGAUGGCGACCGGCAAACGGGUGCGGAACACGUACACAACCUUCCUAUAAGUGGGGAAUAGCCCAGAGAAAUUUGGAUUAAUACCCCGUAACAUAACGAUGUGGCAUCACAUUGUUAUUAUAGCUUCGGCGCUUAUUGAUGGGUGUGCGGCUGAUUAGAUAGUUGGCGGGGUAACGGCCCACCAAGUCUACGAUCAGUAGCUGAUGUGAGAGCAUGAUCAGCCACACGGGCACUGAGACACGGGCCCGACUCCUACGGGAGGCAGCAGUAAGGAAUAUUGGACAAUGGACGCAAGUCUGAACCAGCCAUGCCGCGUGAGGGAUUAAGGUCCUCUGGAUUGUAAACUUCUUUUAUCUGGGACGAAAAAAGGCUUUUCUAAGUCACUUGACGGUACCAGAUGAAUAAGCACCGGCUAACUCCGUGCCAGCCGCCGCCGUAAUAC